GUCCAGUGUAGGUAGAAUAUAUUCUACCGAUAUAAAGCUGCCGUGGUUUGUGUCUUGGAAAACAUUAAAAAACAUUCGACGAAUCGAAUUCGUUUUCGGGUCAGUAUAGAGACCAACUUCGCUUCUAAGACUGUUGCUGAGAAUGGCCUUCGCUCAAAAACGCCGAAGUGCUUUCAAUUUUUUUAGUCCGGUAUACGACACAAACCACGGUAACUUAUUUCAAAUAUAAAUAUGUUUCUAAAUAGUUCCUCUCGAUGUACAUUUAAAAUUCGGGACUGCUUAGCAACACGCGUUGUCUGACGUGAUACCCCACAGAGUCGCCAUGGCAAGGCGUCCCACGCCACCAGCAUGAAGCCUGGGAACGUCGCGCGAUAUCUAAAAGACUGGUACGAGUUUGGAGGAUGUUUUGAAGAAUGAGCCUCCCGGAGGAGCGCGGCCCUGAGGACGACUAUGCAUGAAUUAUGAAUGCUCUUUGAAAUUGGCUGUUAACAACUUGUAACAAGCUUGAUGGCAUUAUCAGACUUGUUACAAGGUUGUUCGAACAAGUGCGAUACAGUCAUGAUA